rnacentral:rRNA from 1 species
UACGGGGGGGUAAGCGUUGUUCGGAAUUACUGGGCGUAAAGGGCUCGUAGGCGGCCAACUAAGUCAGACGUGAAAUCCCUCAGCUUAACUGGGGAACUGCGUCUGAUACUGGAUGGCUUGGAUUUGGGAGAGGAAUGCGGAAUUCCAGGUGUAGCGGUGAAAUGCGUAGAUAUCUGGAGGAACACCGGUGGCGAAGGCGGCAUUCUGGACCAAUAUUGACGCUGAGGAGCGAAAGCCAGGGGAGCAAAGCGGGAU